rnacentral:misc_RNA from 1 species
UUUCCGUAGGUGAACCUGCGGAAGGAUCAUUACCGAGUUAGGGUACCUCGCCUUAAAACCACGAGUGCCCGACCUCCCAACCCUUUGCUUACUUGACCUUUGUUGCUUCGGCAGGCCCGCCUCCAGGCCGCCGGGAGCCUUAACCCGCUCCUGGCCAGUCUCGCCUGCCGAUGGCCCAAAUCUCAAACUCUUGUUUAAAAACGUGUCGUCUGAGUACUUGUUUAAAACAAAAAUUUUAACAAAACUUUCAACAACGGAUCUCUUGGUUCUGGCAUCGAUGAAGAACGCAGC